AUGGCUGUCAUCAAAGGCUACACUAGACUGUUGAAGAAGGCUUUUUCCAACCCCAAAGAUGCUCUGAAAUGUGUAAACCACCAGUAGUAUAGGAGUGACUCGGACAUGUAUGGAGGAGUAUGGUCUCAGAGUCCCCCACAGCAACUUGGCAAUAUUUAACCCUUCAUUUUUAUGGAAUUCAUUUACCAGUUCCUGGAACCAAAAUGUUUGUUUGCCUAGAUAUAUUUCUUUGUCAUCUUCUUUGGAAGUGUAGUAUAC
rnacentral:lncRNA from 1 species